rnacentral:tRNA from 1 species
GGAGAGGUGGCAGAGCGGUCGAAUGCGGCGGUCUCGAAAACCGUUAUCCUCGCAAGGGGAUCAUAGGUUCGAAUCCUAUCCUCUCCGCCA